rnacentral:misc_RNA from 1 species
UCGAGUCUUGACUGGGUUGUAGCUGGCCUUCCGGGGCAUGUGCACGCCCUGCUCAUCCACUCUACACCUGUGCACUUACUGUGGGCUUCAGAUCGUGAAGCGGGCUCUUUACCGGGCUUUGCGGAAGCGUGUCUGCGCCUGCGUCUAUCACAAACCCUAUAAAGUAUCGGAAUGUGUAUCGCGAUGUAACGCAUCUAUAUA